GGCUCAUUAAAUCAGUUAUCGUUUAUUUGAUAGUACCUUACUACAUGGAUACCUGUGGUAAUUCUAGAGCUAAUACAUGCUAAAAACCUCGACUUCGGAAGGGGUGUAUUUAUUAGAUAAAAAACCAAUGCCCUUCGGGGCUCCUUGGUGAUUCAUAAUAACUUAACGAAUCGCAUGGCCUUGCGCCGGCGAUGGUUCAUUCAAAUUUCUGCCCUAUCAACUUUCGAUGGUAGGAUAGUGGCCUACCAUGGUGGCAACGGGUAACGGGGAAUUAGGGUUCGAUUCCGGAGAGGGAGCCUGAGAAACGGCUACCACAUCCAAGGAAGGCAGCAGGCGCGCAAAUUACCCAAUCCCGACACGGGGAGGUAGUGACAAUAAAUACUGAUACGGGGCUCUUUUGGGUCUCGUAAUUGGAAUGAGUACAAUCUAAAUCCCUUAACGAGGAACAAUUGGAGGGCAAGUCUGGUGCCAGCAGCCGCGGUAAUUCCAGCUCCAAUAGCGUAUAUUAAAGUUGUUGCAGUUAAAAAGCUCGUAGUUGAACCUUGGGUCUGGCUGGCCGGUCCGCCUCACCGCGAGUACUGGUCCGGCUGGACCUUUCCUUCUGGGGAACCCCAUGGCCUUCACUGGCUGUGGGGGGAACCAGGACUUUUACUGUGAAAAAAUUAGAGUGUUCAAAGCAGGCCUUUGCUCGAAUACAUUAGCAUGGAAUAAUAGAAUAGGACGUGCGGUUCUAUUUUGUUGGUUUCUAGGACCGCCGUAAUGAUUAAUAGGGAUAGUCGGGGGCGUCAGUAUUCAGCUGUCAGAGGUGAAAUUCUUGGAUUUGCUGAAGACUAACUACUGCGAAAGCAUUCGCCAAGGAUGUUUUCAUUAAUCA
rnacentral:rRNA from 2 species